rnacentral:lncRNA from 1 species
AUCUUUAAAAUUUGAUAAAACCCAAUGUGAUGUUUUUCUUCUUCCGUAGAGCAUGCUGUGGGCGUCCACGUUUGCGCCGUGCAUGUGGUGUGUGGCCCACCGGCAGCUGCUUCAGCAAAGCUGGUCGCCUGGAUGCCGCACGGCUCGAAGUCUGACCGUUCGCACGGCCCGUUCCGCUCGCUGGUCCCCGGGCCUGUCCUCUGCCCGCGUGCACUGUACCCAGCACGGCAGACACGUAGCUCAGCGCAGCGUUUGCGGCUCUUCCGUGAGGAUUGAGCCAAGACAUCCUCAUUGCUCAGGAAACUGACCUGUACGGCAACCCAGCGGAUGGCCUGACUCCCCAGGUACGUAGCCGAGGACAGCUGAACGUGGUCAGGCCACCCCUGGGGCUGCCAGAGAUGCCCUUGUCCCCGGCCCCGAAUCCCACCCCACCACACCACACCCGGCCAGCUCUCUCCACCUCCCCAUUCUGCCAUAACGGGGCUGCCAGCUGCUGCCCUGAGUGACCUUCCCGCCGACCCAGCCGUCGGGGGCUGGCCCGUGGCUUCGAACCGCAGCCCUGGGCGCGGGAGGGGGUGCAGACAGCAGGGCAUCAGCAGGCCAGGCCCUCCUUCUGUGAUGUCCUCACCGCAUCUCCCUUGAGCCGGCGAUGGAACAGUUACGGUUUUAAUCAGGAAAAUAUUUGGGUUCACGCCCACUUUCUGUGAGCUGUCUUAUGAAGCGAUAUUGGCUUAUUUCACCCUUGACUGUCCUGAGAAGAUUCCAGGUCACAGAUGGAGAGACCAAGGCUAGACAAGGCUGGGUAUUGUGCC